UGGCCUCCCAAAGUGCUAGGAUUACAGCCAUGAGCCACCGCACCCAGCCACUUGGGAAGAUUCUUCAAGUGACCAUUUGGUCAAGCGCCCAAGCUUUUAUGUAGGCAAACCUCCUAGUUAUCCUAGGCAGGUGGUGGCCAAUUCUUUUAAAGAUUUCCAUGGCUCUCGAUACCCCCAUCAUACUCCAGCACCCAUCCUGCCCUGGCUUAUCCUGACAAAAGAUUUUUUCCCCCACAUUUACCUGAACUCUGUCUUCCUUGCUAUUCAGAGAAAAUGAAGAAGGAAAGAGAAAGAACUACAGAAUUACCAGGAUACAAGGAAUUUGCUGUUAAGAUCUUCUUAACCUUCCAGUUGCUUGGGAAUCAUUGCCGUAGGGUGUCUCUGUACUCAACAGAAGGGUGAAGACGUUUUAGCAACAGUAGCAAAGCAAAUGAUCUUGGACUUACAGUUUCUUGAUUUCCGAUGAUUAAGCUUCUGCACAUACCAACCCCAAGACAGGGUCAUUCUAUAACUUCUUAAUAAGGUUAAGGUAUUUCGACUACUUGGUCUUCAGUUUCCCUCAGUAAUAGAGACACCAAGAUCCUAUUGCUCUCCAGCAACCAGGCAGGAGAGAUUUGAGUCAGAGGAAAGCACGAGAGAGAAGUUAAGAACAGCAAUUUCUUAAGUCAUAAACGGAGUCAGGACUGUAAGUGUGAUUUUCUGUUACCUGCCCCAGACCUCAUGGAAUUAAACUUUCCUGCCCUGAUCCCUUGGAUUCGUUUCUCCAACCCCACUCACCUAGCCCGGCCUCCCCGAAACACAAAUUGGAAUGGCGUUGGCUCCCGGGCACACUAGGGGGCGCCAGCGGGCUUGUUUUCCAGGAUGGCCCUAAAAUUCUCUCCAGCGAGGAGAGGACCAUGACGGCCAGGCCACGCUUGCUCUGAAAAGCGCCGAGCGUGGAAGGGUGUCUUGGAAUGGGGUCUAAAAGGGAGAACGACAUCCUUAUGACUUGCUUUAGGCUGCUUUCUGGAUGUAUUUUCAGAGCUGGGGAUGAGGAGAGGUUGCGUAAAGGUGCCGGCCUGCUGCUGGCCGGGGCUGGCAGCCUUUCAGCCGCCGCGGAUAAAGUUUGAACUUUUGCCGGGAGUGUCCCUCCAAAACGAUCAUCAAUCAGACAGAAUAGCUGCAAAUACCAACUCACAGACCAGGUUGGGAAUUAGGUGAUAGGGUCUUGCUAUGUUGCCUCGGCUGGAAUGCAGUGGCUGUUCAUAGACAUUAUCACAGCACACUACAGUCUCAAACUCCUGGACUCAAGCAAUCCUCCUGCCUCAGCCUCCUGAGUAGCUAGGACUACUGGGAUGCACUACUGCUCUUGGCAAAUUAAGGAUUUUGAGAUGGAGAGACUAUCCUGGAUUAUCUGAUGGGCUUAAUCAUUGACAAAGGUUCUUAUAUAAGGAAAAGUCAAUGUGAUAAUGGAAGCAGAUUUGAAGAUGCUGUGCAACUGGCUUUGAAGAUGGAGGACGGGGCCACAAGCCAAGGAUUGUUGGCAGCCUCUAAGCUGGAAGAGGUAAGAAGCAUAUUCUCCUGUGGCACCUCCGGGAGAAAUGCAGUACUGCCUAUACCUUGACUUUAGCCAAGUGAAACUAAUUUUAGACUUCUCACCUCCAGAACUGUAAGAUAAUAAAUUUGUGUUGAUUUAAGACACUAUGUUUGUGGUAAUUGGUUACAGCAAU
rnacentral:lncRNA from 1 species